CCCAGGUUUUUAUAUUAUUAUUGUGAGCUGAGCACUGAGCAGGAACUAGUAGUUCUCUGGUGUUGUGUUCUCUUGGCUUAUAGCAUUUUCAGGCCCAGACAGAAUGCGCUAGAUAUCGUAACCCCUCAGCAAUAGUUUCAGCAGCAACUUUAAAUUGAACUUCUACCAAAUGGCUACUGGCUCGACUUGACUUACACUUCAUUUACUUCAUGUGACACCUGUUUCUAGGCACAAGUUCGAGCUGGGCUAAAAGGGAUUAAAGAGACCAUACCUACCCCAACAGAUCCACCUAUCCCGGGCAGAGAAGGAACCGACGGAGUGAUUUUGCCUGAUGUCAUCAGGCCAGAGAGCCAGACCCUCCAACUGAUGGUACUGGAAGAAAACAGCCAGUAUGCAGCGUCCACCAGUGUCCACCAUGGUCCACCAGCAGUGUCCACCAUUGGGGGCGUCUUGACCCUGAGACAGUUGAUUCUCUAUCGUGGAAUGGCUCUGGCUCUUGCUGUUGUGGUCCUUUUAGCGGGAAUUUUCAUAAGAGUUUUCAGUGACCGUGGCUAAAAUGGAAGACUCAUUGCUACUCUACAAACUAGAAAUGAUAAUUCCAUGCCAUAUAUUAAGUGUCACAGGUGGCCUUGUUAUUUAGACGGUGGUUUUACUCUCAGUGGUACAUGGAAACGGUAUCAGGGAUGUUUCCUUGGUUAUUCUGAGAAACUGCGCUGUCUCGAUGGGCAUGAAGAAGAGAGCUAUAAUUUUAAGUAAACUUUUCUCUGUUCACUUUA